GACGAACGGCUGGCGGCGUGCUUAACACAUGCAAGUCGAGCGGAAAGGCCCUUUCGGGGGUACUCGAGCGGCGAACGGGUGAGUAACACGUGAGUAAUCUGCCCUUGGCUUUGGGAUAACCACCGGAAACGGUGGCUAAUACCGGAUAUGACGGGCUCCGGCAUCGGGUUCGUGGAAAGUUUUUCGGCCAGGGAUGUGCUCGCGGCCUAUCAGCUUGUUGGUGGGGUAAUGGCCUACCAAGGCUUCGACGGGUAGCCGGCCUGAGAGGGUGACCGGGCCACACUGGGACUGAGACACGGCCCAGACUCCUACGGGAGGCAGCAGUGGGGAAUAUUGGACAAUGGGCGGAAGCCCUGAUCCAGCAACGCCGCGUGAGGGAUG
rnacentral:rRNA from 1 species